GACGAACGCUGGCGGCGUGCCUAACACAUGCAAGUCGAGCGGGGUUGAAGCGAGGGGUAACUCGGACUUCUACCUAGCGGCGGACGGGUGAGUAACGCGUGGGCAACCUGCCUCAAGGUUUGGGAUAACAGCUCGAAAGGGCUGCUAAUACCGGAUAUGCCUGUGGCCUCGCAUGGGGCUAUGAGCAAAGGGGAAACCCGCCUUGAGAUGGGCCCGCGUCCCAUCAGCUAGUUGGUGAGGUGAAGGCUCACCAAGGCGACGACGGGUAGCCGGCCUGAGAGGGUGACCGGCCACACUGGGACUGAGACACGGCCCAGACUCCUACGGGGGGCAGCAGUGGGGGAUCUUGCACAAUGGGCGAAAGCCUGAUGCAGCGACGCCGCGUGAGCGAAGAAGGCCUCGGUUGUAAGACUCUGUCUGGAGGGACGGAAGAAAAGUAGACGGUACCGUCCGGACGGAAGACCGACGGCGUAACUACGUACGCCAGCAGCCGCGGUAAACCGGUACUACUG
rnacentral:rRNA from 1 species